AGAAGAUUAAGUUGUCUAAUACUGAAAACCUGUCAGUCAUUCCUGAGGAGGAAAAUGAAGACUCUGUUCAUCACCAAUUGAGUAUUGUCAAGGACAGGAAGAAGUCUUCCAAGUUAUCUAGCGAUCUAAAUAGGUCAAGCAACCUUGAUAAACAGAAGAAUGACAAAAGUGAUUGUCCAAGUGACGAAACAAGGUUCAUUUUCAUCACUUGUGAUUUGUAUGACAUGUCAACUGUGUAUCUUUUCCUUCUAUGAUUGUUCAUUGCACAGUGCAUAUUUGGUACUUUCUGGGCAAGGCAACUAGCUGAUAUAAUUUUAUUGACAAUUUUUUGCGUGCAUGUCUGUGAUCAUUUAUCUUGGUUAUUUUUUGUUUAUAUGUUUUUGUUAUCAUAGUAAUCUAUGUAUCGAUCUUUCUGCUCCUAUUUUAAUUUCAUUUGGAUUUUAGUGUAUGAUUAAGUAGGGACCUCCCUUUUCUCUUCAGAACCAUUUUUCUUUUACCUUGUUUUUGAACUUUGGAAGUAUUUAUUUGACCAUGUAAACGUUGUCCGGGUUGCUGACUUUGUUCCCUUAUCUUUGACAUUCAGUCAGAAGAAGAUUAAGUUGUCUAAUACUGAAAACCUGUCAGUCAUUCCCGAGGUCCACGAGGAGGAAAAUGAAGACUGUGUUCAUCACCAAUCGAGUAUUGUCAAGGACAGGAAGAAGUCUUCCAUGUUAUCUAGCGAGCUAAAUAGGUCAAGCAACCUUGAUAAACAGAAGAAUGACAAAAGUGAUUGUCCAAGUGAUGAAACAAGGUUCAUUUUCAUCACACUUCUGAUUUGUAUGACAUGUCAAUGGUGUAUCUUUUCCUUCCCUGAUUGUUCAUUGCACAGUGCAUAUUUGGUACUUUCUGGGCAAGGCAACUAGCUGAUAUAAUUUUAUUGACAAUUUUUUGCGUGCAUGUUUGGUGAUAAUUUAUCUGGGUUAUUUUUUGUUACUAUGUUUAUGCUUGUAGAUUAAGAGGAGAGCUUUGAUGGAGUAG
rnacentral:lncRNA from 1 species